rnacentral:rRNA from 1 species
CCUACGGGUGGCAGCAGUGAGGAAUAUUGGUCAAUGGACGGAAGUCUGAACCAGCCAUGCAGCGUGCAGGAAGACGGCUCUAUGAGUUGUAAACUGCUUUUGUACGAGGAUAAACGCAGCUACGCGUAGAUGUCUGAAAGUAUCGUACGAAUAAGGAUCGGCGAACUCCGUGCCAGCAGCCGCGGUAAGACGGAGGAUUCAAGCGUUAUCCGGAUUUAUUGGGGUUAAAGGGUGCGUAGGCGGUCGGAUAAGUUAGAUGUUAAAUCCCGAGGCUCACGUUCGGAAUUGCAUUUGAGACUGUUCGGCUAGAGAGUACAUGCGGUAGGCGGAAUGUAUGGUGUAGCGGUGAAAGGCUUAGAGAUCAGACAGAACACCGAUUGCGAAGGCAGCUUACCAAGCUACUUCUGACGUUGAGGCACGAAAGCGUGGGGAGCAAACAGGAUUAGAUACCCCUGUAGUC